AUUGAACGCUGGCGGCAUGCCUUACACAUGCAAGUCGAACGGCAGCACGGGUGCUUGCACCUGGUGGCGAGUGGCGAACGGGUGAGUAAUACAUCGGAACGUACCUUAUCGUGGGGGUUAACGCAGCGAAAGCUGUGCUAAUACCGCAUAAUCCCUAAGGGGGAAAGCGGGGGACCGUAAGGCCUCGCGCAAUUAGAGCGGCCGAUACCUGAUUAGCUAGUUGGUGGGGUAAAGGCUAACCAAGGCAACGAUCAGUAGCUGGUCUGAGAGGACGAUCAGCCACACUGGGACUGAGACACGGCCCAGACUCCUACGGGAGGCAGCAGUGGGGAAUUUUGGACAAUGGGGGCAACCCUGAUCCAGCAAUGCCGCGUGAGUGAAGAAGGCCUUCGGGUUGUAAAGCUCUUUUGUCAGGGAAGAAACAGCAGCUCUAACACAGUUUGCGAAUGACGGUACCUGAAGAAUAAGCACCGGCUAACUACGUGCCAGCAGCCGCGGUAA
rnacentral:rRNA from 1 species